GUUCCAACCGGGAAAAUCUGAACAUGUCUGGAAGAGACAUACUGUGAUCUCUGGCAGUCUACAAGCAGAGGCGACGUCUGUCGCUUCUGGGAAACACUCACCUGUGAGGGAGCUCCUGUCGACUCCGCUGAAACAAGGGGGGUCCCCUCCUCUUCGCUAGUGUCCGAGUCGCUGCCGAAAAUUUGACGCUCCAUCGGCUUCAGGCUUCUGAUGCUCGGUUCCUCGCUUGCCGAGUCGUACGACUCCUCACCUCGCUCCUCCCGUCGCUGCUCACUGAUCCCGGCGCCAUCCUCAACGCCUGAGGAGUCGGACCAGGGUGGCAGGAUCUCAUCGACGGCCUUCUCCAGCUGUCUGACUGCCUCCUCCGUCUCCUCUCCGGCUGCAACCUCUGGGCCACAGGGACUGAGCUGACUCCCCACCUGAGCGGGGGUCCCUGUGGAGCUGGCUGCAUCCCUCAUCAGUGCAGCUGCAGCAAAAGAGCUUCUUUGAGCUCUCCCACGGCCACUCCUGAUAGGCACCCGCUGCGGUUGUGGUCUCACUCCAGCCAUCACCUGCAGCUCUCUCACCUCGUCAUCACCUAACUCCUCUCUGCUCGGUGAUGACUCGGCUCCUCCUCGCCUCUCCUCUCGGUGCAUUCUCCUCGGGCUCCGUCUGUUGGACUGCUGUCUGUGAAGCGCUGGCGUCAGCUUGUGAUGGCUCCGGUCUGGAGGUCCUCAGCAGCGCCAGGACCUGUCUCUACUGCUCCUCGGCUUGAGACUUCCUCCGUGCCAGUGCCACGUUAAGCUCCGGGGGCAUUUGAAAAACGAGUGCCCUCGCUGCCCACAUAGACUGCACUCCGCAUCAUUGUUGAAGGCAUUAGCUUUGUGCCCCAGGCUGGCAAACUUCCAGCACUUUACCUCCCGGCACUCCCUGACCCGAGGAUCCGUGCUGUUGCAUAUGAAACAACGCAUCUCUUAGCCGGGAUACUGAAGACGGCCAGUUGUAAGGACCCAGGGACACGGAGGUGGACAAAGACAUGAGAUGACUGUUGGCAUCUCGCUUGAGCUCCACCUUGUAUUUGCGGAUGCUGUACCAUAUUCCAAACUGGUCUAAUGGUUUGUACGGUGUAGCAGGUUCAGAGAGCGCAGGGAGGCCACAGUUCGUCUUCCCGCACUGGGAGUGUCUUUAUUGCAAAAUCAAAACAAAACAGCGACUUCAAACUAAAAUGGAAAGUAAUGUCCAGGAGAGUCCUCGCGUUUGCGAUCCACGGCAUGCGAUCUCUGGCACGGAACGCGUUGGACCUCUCUCUCUCUUCUCCCCGGUUUCCCUACUAACCACAAAGCAGGCACAUAAAUACAAACACUCCCUGAUUGGCCUGAGUGCUGACACCUGCUCGCCCUCAGGUCCAACCCCCCCAGCCAAUCCGGUGCGCUCCCAACCUGCCCAUACUCCCCCUGCAGGCCAGACGUCACACGUCCCCCCACAUACGGCUUCUCCAGUAUGUUACAGUAUCGCUUCAGAUACAGCUCAACGUCGUGAUCUGACACACGGCCGGUCCAGAACUUAACCACGAGGUUAACUAUACCAAUACUGACUGAGGAGUCAAUGGACCAGAAUUUCCAUUUAUCCUGCUGACUCUCAGCAGCAUACUGCUCCAAGAAGCGACGGAGUGUAGCUUGCUGAUAGAAACAUAAUUCAAACUCGCGUCGGUUAGGCAGGGCGAUGAAUGAAUGAAUGAAUGUACGUCACGGGCACACAAAAGGUUGGAUUCAAACAAAAGUUCUUUACCAACAUACUCCCGUGAGGGUAGAUCUGCUUUGCCUGUAUAUUUCAACCUAGCCCAGUUGUCAGCAAACUGGGAUGCGAAAGAUGAUGCAAUAAAAGAUUUAGAGCACGAGACCAGAGGUCUCGUGCUCUAGACCUCCGAGGAAGACAAUCCUCCCUUGCUUUUUAGGCAAGGCAAGGCAACUUUAUUUAUAUAGCACUUUUCAUACACAAGGCAGACUCAAAGUGCUUCACAUGUU